CUGCUGCCUUCCGUAGGAGUCUGGGCCGUGUCUCAGUCCCAAUGUGGCCGUUCACCCUCUCAGGCUGGCUACUGAUCGUCGCCUUGGUGGGCCGUUACCCCGCCAACAAGCUAAUCAGACGCGGAACCAUCGUAUACCACCGGAGUUUUUCACACUGUCCCAUGCGGGUCUGUGCGCUUAUGCGGUAUUAGCACCUAUUUCUAAGUGUUAUCCCCCAGUAUACGGCAGGUUUUCCACGCGUUACUCACCCGUCCGCCACUAA
rnacentral:rRNA from 1 species